GACGAACGCUGGCGGCGUGCUUAACACAUGCAAGUCGAACGGAAAGGCCCUGCUUUUGUGGGGUGCUCGAGUGGCGAACGGGUGAGUAACACGUGAGUAACCUGCCCUUGACUUUGGGAUAACUUCAGGAAACUGGGGCUAAUACCGGAUAGGAGCUCCUGCUGCAUGGUGGGGGUUGGAAAGUUUCGGCGGUUGGGGAUGGACUCGCGGCUUAUCAGCUUGUUGGUGGGGUAGUGGCUUACCAAGGCUUUGACGGGUAGCCGGCCUGAGAGGGUGACCGGAGACAUUGGGACUGAGAUACGGCACAGACUACUACGGGAGGCAGCAGUGGGGAAUAUUGCACAAUGGGAGGAAGCCUGAUGCAGCAAAGCAGCGUGCGGGAUGACGGCCUUCGGGUUGUAAACCGCUUUCGCAUGUGACGAAGCGUGAGUGACGGUAAUGGGUAAAGAAGCACCGGCUAACUACGUG
rnacentral:rRNA from 1 species